AUUCAUUUCACCAUUUUAUUGUCCAUGUUACAACUCUCAACACAUUUCCAGCUACAAAUAAAUACAUAACAAAGUGUAUUUUCUCAAUUAUGGGGAAUUAUCUACCAUGAAACUGAGACAUGAAAGUGGAGAAAAGAAGUCGGCAAAUAAAAUUUAGGGAAGAAGGGAAACAACUAGGUACAACAGAUGAUUCUGGGGCCUAGCUGUUAAUAUAGUUUGGCAAAGUUUAGGCCUUUGCAGCUGCGACUGGAGCUCCAGCUCUGCUGGCAACGAUUUGCUCGUAGAGGUCUCUGAUCUUCAAACCGACAAUGGUCUGGAAGAAACCUGUUCCAUUGUUGCUGCCAGGGAAGUCUGCAUGCUUCAACAUUUGUUGAGUAACUUCACCAUAGAAUUUGCUGGAGAGGUUGCUCAAAUGGCUCUCCACGUAGAUGAGUUCAUCUAGUCUGUCAAAUUGGCCAUCCAUCUCCAAGACAGAUACCUCAUUGCCAAAGUAGGUGUCAGGGCCAUAGGUGAAUUUGAUGCCAGGGUAAGAACAAGUCAACUUCCUGCCACAAGGAAUCCAUGAGAUUGUCGAUCCUUCAUCAAACAGGUAAACUGGAUUGAAGUUCUUCACUCCUUCCUUCAUUAUCAAUCUCACUCUCAAAACUUUGCCUUCAUUGUCAUCUGGGAUUAGCUGAGUUGGGAGCACUUCAAUGACUGCAUCUGCAUAUUGCUUUUGUGGAUCAAUGUAAGCAUCAAAAUCUGGUUUCCUAGCUUCAAUACUGGCCUUAAUGCUCUCAAGGCUGUGUCCUCUUUCAGCCAUAUCCCUCUGGAUCUUCCAAGCAAACUUGACCUCAUUGCUGAUAUCCAAGUAGAUACUGAAGUCCAAGAGGUCUCUCACACGCUCAUCGUACAUGGGGUGUAAUCCUUCAAUGACAAGAAUCUUUGGAGGCUUAAUAACCUCAGGAGGAUCAAGAAGACCACUAACAUGAUUAUAAAUAGGUUUAUCAACAGGAACCCCAUCUUUAAUAGCUUUAACUUGUUCAUACAUUAGAUCAAAAUCAUUAGCUCUUGGAUCAAGAGCAGUUACCCCUUUUUCUUUUCUACCAGUUCUGUCAAGUGAAUGAUAAUCAUCAAGACAAAUGACAGUAGUCAUGUCUGAUAUCAAUGUGUUUGAAUCUGGAUUUCCACCUUUCGGUGGUUCAGCAGCGCCACCAAAGACGCUGGUUAAUCGUCUCAUAAAUGUACUUUUACCACAACCAGAAUCAGCUGCUAGACCGAUUACAACUGUUUUUUCACCGUCAGAGGAAGCAGAGCAUGUCAUCUUCCUUGGUCUUUUUGUUAGGAAAAUUACUUGUUUCUGGUGAAAUCUUAAGUGGGGUUUUGAUGGAGUUGAAAUUGAACAAGAUGAAUUCAGUGAUUGAGCAGUGUACACUGUACAAACUGCCAUUUUUUUUAUUUUUGCCCCUCUAUCUCUCUGUUUCUUGAGAGGUUUUUGAGAUAGAAUUAUGGAGGAAGCUUUUUUAUUUUUUAUUUUUG
rnacentral:misc_RNA from 1 species